GUAAGUUCCGACCUGCACGAAUGGCAUAAUGAUGGGGGCGCUGUCUCCAGCAGAGACUCAGUGAAAUCGAAUUCGCCGUGAAGAUGCGGUGUACCCGCGGCUAGACGGAAAGACCCCGUGAACCUUUACUACAGCUUGGCACUGAACAUUGAACCUACAUGUGUAGGAUAGGUGGGAGGCUAUGAAACCGGAACGCUAGUUUCGGUGGAGCCGUCCUUGAAAUACCACCCUGGUUUGUUUGAGGUUCUAACCUUGGCCCGUGAUCCGGGUCGGG
rnacentral:rRNA from 1 species